rnacentral:rRNA from 2 species
UGCAGUCGAGCGGACAGAUGGGAGCUUGCUCCCUGAUGUUAGCGGCGGACGGGUGAGUAACACGUGGGUAACCUGCCUGUAAGACUGGGAUAACUCCGGGAAACCGGGGCUAAUACCGGAUGCUUGAUUGAACCGCAUGGUUCAAUUAUAAAAGGUGGCUUUUAGCUACCACUUACAGAUGGACCCGCGGCGCAUUASCUAGUUGGUGAGGUAACGGCUCACCAAGGCAACRAUGCGUASCCAACCUGARAGGGUGAUCGGCCACACUGGGACUGARACACGGCCCAAACUCCUACGGGAGGCAGCAGUAGGGAAUCUUCCGCAAUGGACRAAAGUCUGACGGASCAACGCCGCGUGAGUGAUGAAGGUUUUCGGAUCGUAAAACUCUGUUGUUAGGGAARAACAAGUACCGUUCGAAUAGGGCGGUACCUUGACGGUACCUAACCARAAAGCCACGGCUAACUACKUGCCASCASCCGCGGUAAUACGUAGGUGGCAAGCGUUGUCCGGAAUUAUUGGGCGUAAAGCGCGCGCAGGCGGUUUCUUAAGUCUGAUGUGAAAGCCCCCGGCUCAACCGGGGAGGGUCAUUGGAAACUGGGGAACUUGAGUGCAGAAGAGGAGAGUGGAAUUCCACGUGUAGCGGUGAAAUGCGUAGAGAUGUGGAGGAACACCAGUGGCGAAGGCGACUCUCUGGUCUGUAACUGACGCUGAGGCGCGAAAGCGU